rnacentral:rRNA from 1 species
CGUUGUUCGGAAUUAUUGGGCGUAAAGGGUGCGUAGGCGGUCUGACAAGUCUGAUGUGAAAUCUAUGGGCUCAACCCAUAGUCUGCACAGGAAACUGUCGGGCUAGAGUAUGGGAGAGGUGCGUGGAAUUUCCGGUGUAGCGGUGAAAUGCGUAGAUAUCGGAAGGAACACCUGUGGCGAAAGCGGCGCACUGGACCAAAACUGACGCUGAGGCACGAAAGCUAGGGGAGCAAACAGG